rnacentral:rRNA from 1 species
AUUUCCGUAGGUGAACCUGCGGAAAGAUCAUUUG